CGGAGGAAGGUGGGGAUGACGUCAAGUCAUCAUGCCCCUUAUGUCCAGGGCUUCACACAUGCUACAAUGGCCGGUACAAAGGGCUGCGAUCCCGUGAGGGUUAGCGAAUCCUUUAAAGCCGGUCUCAGUUCGGAUUGGGGUCUGCAACUCGACCCCAUGAAGUCGGA
rnacentral:rRNA from 1 species